UAAAAUAUAUUCUAAAUUUAAGUUAUAUUUUUAUAUAAUUAUAUUAAAAAUAUUUUUAUAUAAAUAUAUAGAUGAGAUUAUUAGAAGAUUUUUAAUGAAAUUAUUAUUUAAGUUUUCAGUAUAUUUAUUUAUACAAUGAAUUUAGGUUUUAUAUAGAUAUUAUAAAUUGCGAUUGGAUAAAUUUGUGCCAGCAUCUGCGGUUAUACAAAUAAUUGGAAUUAAAUUUUUUUUGGUUAAAAAAAAGGUUAUAAGUAUUUAAUUACAUAAUAAAAGAAAUAAUUAUUAUAGAUUUUGAGGUAAAAUUUUAAUUUAUUUGUUUUUCUUAUAUUUCUUUUUUGGUUCUUUGAAAAUUUAAUUAUAAACUAGGAUUAGAUACCCUAUUAUUUUUAUUAAUAAAAAUUUUUAUACCUAAGUAUUACGAGACUACAUAUAUAUUAGGUCUUAAAACUUAAAAGGUUUGGCGGUUUUACAGAUCCUUUUAGGGGAGCUUGUUAAUUAGUUUGAUAAUCCACAUUUUAAACUUACUUUUUUUUGAUAUAAAUAUAUAUAUAUAUAUUUACAGUUUGUAUAUUGCUGUCAUCAGUUUAUUCUUUAAGGGUUAAAAAACUUAUAAAUUUUUAUAUUUUUAUGUCAAGUCAUAAUGCAGUUGAUAGAAAAGGUUUAAUGAGCUACUUUUGUAAAUUUUUAUAGAUAUCAGAUAAUAAAAUUUAAUUUUGUUAAUAAGAUGGACUUAAUAGUAAAUUAUAAUUAGUAAGUAUAGUUGAAUAAUUGGUUUUGUAAAGUGUACAUAUCGCCCGUCACUCUUGUUGUUAAAUAAGAUAAGUCGUAACAUAGUAGAGGUAAUGGAAAUUGUUUCUGGGAUAGAA
rnacentral:ncRNA from 1 species